rnacentral:lncRNA from 1 species
UGUUCCUGAAGAUUCUCAGCAAUCAGAGCAGAAGAGUGAUCACCGCAAACCUAGAAGAAAACCUAAAUCUGGACUGAAUCGAACACGCUCCGUGAAGGCUGUAGUUGAAGAUGCAAAACUAUUCCUUGGUGAAAGCCCUGAAGGACCUGAGCCUAGUAAUAGGGUGCAGUCACAUGAAACCAGUCAUGUCAAUGAAGAAAGUGCUGGUGUUUCUAGUCAUACUGUUGAGGGGGCAGGACCACGGAGUAAUGCAAGAAAACGGCAACGCCAACAAAAUUCCCAAGUUAGAGACAGUGAGUUGGAUGCUGCAGAUAGUGAAGGACACUCUGAUAGUGUCACGGCUGGUGGGAGAAGGAAGAGGCAACAAACAGUUACUCCAGGCCUCCAAACCCCAGGACAAAACCGAUACAAUCUCAGGCGACCCAAGACGUAAGUUCCAUCUUAUUAUAUGUAAUAUUCUCAAUGACUUCUGGUAAUAAAUUGUACAAUGUUGCUUUUUAUGUGGUGUGGUGCUUUGACUAGAUUCACAUAAGUUGCCCUUCUAAUUUUGAUUGAAAGGUAAGAAAUGCUGAUUUGUUGUAUUGUAGGAUUCUCUUUUAGAAGAAAUUUAUUCAGAACCCUUUUAAGUUCUAAAUUUGCCUUUGUGGAGUUUUUGCUUGUGCUUAGCCUGUAACUGAAUUUGCCAUUAAUAUUGAAACGGAAAUGGGUUUAUGAGCCUUUUUGAUGGUCUUUUGCAUAUCAGAUGCUGCGACGACUACCCCUUCUUUCUUGGACCAGAAAAUAUAUGUUCGGAAUGAGAAGUACUCAACACAAUAAGUAAAUAACUACAAAUAAAUUAAGUUAAUUCUCUCAUCAAUACUUUCCAAUCCUUUCUAAAGAACUAUGUAUCAGCAGGAUUACAUUGUAAUGAUUUAAAACAAGAUUUAGGAUUUCAAAUAAAACAAUCAAAGCAUACGGAUUUGGUUUCAUACUAUUUAGCUGCAUAUAAUAGUGUUAGAAGUGGAAUUAAUGGAUUAAAAAAUGGUGAAAAGAAAAAAACCUUUUUGGUUGCAUUAUUGUUGAAAAAGUUGUUUUCAAAUUUUUAGAAGAGGGUGUUUCCAAACAUUUUAAUUACUGCUUGAAUGACAAUUUAUGUUAAUGUUUGGAGGUCAGUUCAUAUUUGUGUGUUGGACUGUGAUGCAAGGACAAAUAUAUUGUUCAAAUUUGAAUAGAAUGGUACAUGCAAAACUAAAUAUGAAAAAAUAUGCUCCACCACAUAGAAGGGUACUAAAAAUAUGUUAAGAUCUGUGUUUCAGAUGUUGGAGAAUGUUGACAGAUACUGGAAGGCCUAAUUGCAUAUAAGGGAACCAUUUAUGUAUCUUUAAUUAUGUAGCAUAGAAAGGAAAUAUUUUUGGGGGAUAUAGUGGUCCGUUAUUCUUUUAUUUUUGUUUUGUGUGUGUGUGAAAUGGAAAAUAUCUCCAGUGGAGGAAACCAUUUCUUCUAUUUAACCAGGGUUUUCUAUAACUGGAUAGUUUUUCGUGGUCUUAGGUUAUUGUCUAGGAUAUGAUUAAGGUUCACAAGAGGUGAAAACACUUGAUUAUUCUAAAUAUACUUUAAAAAAAAAAUAUUUUUACAGUACAGUCACAGCCACAGCAGCACAGGCCUCAUCUGAUGUCCUGAAGACUAGGAAGGAGCCUGAGGAUGGUGGGUUGGAGGGAGGAGUGCAUACUAGGAAGGAGCCUGAGGAUGGUGGGUUGGAGGGAGGAGUGCAUACAAGGAAGGAGCCUGAGGAUGGUGGGUUGGAGGGAGGAGUGCAUACUAGGAAGGAACCUGAGGAUGGUGAGAACAGAAGAUCUAACUUGGUGCAGGUUACAACAAUAAAAAAUGUGGAGAUCUUAGAAAGCGAGGUGGUU